ensembl:snoRNA
GAGCAAUGAUGAAAAGGGUUUACCACUGACCUUCAUAACUAUGAAGCUUUCUGCACUCGAUCUGAGCUCA